GAGUGAAGCGGCAAAAGCUCAAAUUUGAAAUCUAGCACCUUCGGUGUUCGAGUUGUAAUUUGAAGAUGGUAACCUUGGGUUUGGCUCUUGUCUAUGUUCCUUGGAACAGGACGUCAUAGAGGGUGAGAAUCCCGUCUGAUGAGAUGCCCAUUCCUAUGUAAGGUGCUAUCGAAGAGUCGAGUUGUUUGGGAAUGCAGCUCUAAGUGGGUGGUAAAUUCCAUCUAAAGCUAAAUAUUGGCGAGAGACCGAUAGCGAACAAGUACAGUGAUGGAAAGAUGAAAAGAACUUUGAAAAGAGAGUGAAAAAGUACGUGAAAUUGUUGAAAGGGAAGGGCAUUAGAUCAGACUUGGUGUUUUACGAUUAUCUUCUCUUCUUGAGUUGUGCACUCGUAUUUCACUGGGCCAGCAUCGAUUCGGAUGGCAAGAUAAUGGCAGUUGAAUGUGGCUUCACUUCGGUGGAGUGUUAUAGCUUCUGCUGAUAUUGCCUGUCUGGAUCGAGGGCUGCGUCUUU
rnacentral:rRNA from 1 species